rnacentral:rRNA from 1 species
AUUGAACGCUGGCGGCAGGCUUAACACAUGCAAGUCGAGCGAGCGGCGGACGUGGGAGUAAUGUCUGGGAAACUGCCUGAUGGAGGGGGAUAACUACUGGAAACGGUAGCUAAUACCGCAUAACAUCAGAUGUGCCAAGAUGGGAUUAGCUAGUAGGUGGUGUAAUGGCUCACCUGGGGGACGAUCCCCAGCUGGUCUGAGAGGAUGACCAGCCACACUGGAACUGAGACGCGGUCAAGACUCCUACGGGAGGCAGCAUUGGGUAAUAUUGCACAAUGGGCGCAAGCCUGAUGCAGCCAUGCCGCGUGUGUGAAGAAGGCCUUCGGGUUGUAAAGCACUUUCAGCGAGGAGGCGUUACUCGCAGAAGAAGCACCGGCUAACUCCGUGCCAGCAGCCGCGGUAAUUC